rnacentral:rRNA from 1 species
UACGAAGGGGGCUAGCGUUGUUCGGAAUUACUGGGCGUAAAGCGCACGUAGGCGGAUCGAUCAGUCAGGGGUGAAAUCCCAGAGCUCAACUCUGGAACUGCCUUUGAUACUGUCGAUCUGGAGUAUGGAAGAGGUGAGUGGAAUUCCGAGUGUAGAGGUGAAAUUCGUAGAUAUUCGGAGGAACACCAGUGGCGAAGGCGGCUCACUGGUCCAUUACUGACGCUGAGGUGCGAAAGCGUGUGGAGCAAACAGG